rnacentral:rRNA from 1 species
UACGAAGGGGGCUAGCGUUGCUCGGAAUCACUGGGCGUAAAGCGCACGUAGGCGGAUCUUUAAGUCAGGGGUGAAAUCCCAAGGCUCAACCUUGGAACUGCCUUUGAUACUGGGGAUCUCGAGUCCGGAAGAGGUUGGUGGAACUCCGAGUGUAGAGGUGAAAAUUCGUAGAUAUUCGGAAGAACACCAGUGGCGAAGGCGGGCCAACCUGGUCCCGGCCAGCUCGACGGCU